rnacentral:misc_RNA from 1 species
GAGAGAGAGAGAGGAUAGAAAAGAGAGAAUUAGAGAGAAGAAGAAGAUCAAUCAUUUAUUAGAUUCAGAAUAAGAAUCUACAAGCCUGAAUUAGGGUUUCUAUUGGCAGUUAGUUGAUAGAGUGAGGGACAAAAUUUUAAUUGUAAAUGAAGAACAAUGAGAAUUUGUAUUAAAUCAAAAUAGCCAAAUAACUUAUUAUGUUCCAUAAUUCUAGUAAUUCCUUACUUUCCACUCUUUUUCUCCUCAAUUUCCAAUUACAGAAUUCAAAUAGAAAAUAACAAGGAGAAUUAAAGACGUUCAAAGAACUAGAUAACAAUGGCUAUAAUAGCCCCUAGGAAGAUUCCCUGUGCAGAUUGCUUUGCCCCUCUAAACCAGAUAAAAUAUCAACUUCAUGGAUGCCUCUCCUCUUGACCCUUUUCUUCUCUUUGUACUCUUUCUAUUCCCUUUGCCGACUAUCACUCCACAUACUUCCAGCCUCCUCCAUUCCCUCUAAAGCCUAUCUCCUGUUAUCCAUCAUUCUAAAUAAUUUACAUGUCAUGGAAAUAUUCAAAGGUAAAAAUUAAACUAAAAAAAAAGAAUGAAUAAAAAUAAACUUAAAAUUAAAAGGAAAUGGAGGAAAAUUGAAAUUAAUCAUUAAAUCGAAUUGAAAGGCCAUUUUAAUAAAAUAAAUAAAUAAAUUUACACUAUUACAUAGCUUUUAGCCUGUUAUUCCAUGCAAGGGGCCUUGAAUUCUU